rnacentral:rRNA from 1 species
UGGUAUUUUUGCUGUGCUAAGGUAGCAUAAUCAUUUGUCAUUUAAUUGAUGACUAGGAUGAACGGUUUUACAAUAUAGUUCUUUUUUUUAUAAAAAAUUGAAUUUGUAUUUUAAGUAAGAAUACUUAAAUAUAAAAAAGGGGCGAUAAGACCCUGAAAGCUUUAUAUAACUUUUUAUUAAUUUAGUUUUUUUUUUUGUAAGAGUAAAAAUUUAUAAUUAGCUGGGGAAGUUUUAAUACAAAAACUAUAAUUUUGUUUUGCUUGGGUUUUAUGGUCCAUUAAAUAAUGAUAAAUAGAGUGAGUUACUUCAGGGAUAACAGCAUAAUAAUUUUGUAGAGUUCUUAUCGAUAAAAUUGANCUGUGACCUCGAUGUUGAAUUAAGAGUUCUAGCUAAGGAAAAAUGUAGCAUAGAGGGUUGUCACCUUUUU